rnacentral:rRNA from 1 species
AUUGAACGCUGGCGGCAGGCCUAACACAUGCAAGUCGAGCGAGCGGCGGACGGGUGAGUAAGGUGUGGGGACUGCCCGAUAGAGGGGGGUAAAAACUGGAAACGGUAGGUAAAACCGCAUACUAUCGGGUAGACCAUAUGGGAUUAGCUAGUAGGUGAGGUAAUGGCUAACUUAGGCGACGAUCCCUAGCUGGUCUCAGAGGAUGAUCAGCCACACUGGGUCUGAGACACGGCCCAGACUCCUCCGGAGGCAGCAGUGGGGAAUAUUGCACAAUGGGCGCAAGCCUGAUGCAGCCAUGCCGCGUGUAUGAAGAAGGCCCUAGGGUUGUAAAGUACUUUCAGUCGGGAGGCGUUACCGACAGAAGAAGCACCGGCUAACUCCGUGCCAGCAGCCGCGGUAAUUC